rnacentral:rRNA from 1 species
AUAUUAUUAAGCGGAGGAGUAGAAACUAACAAGGAUUCCCCUAGUAACGGCGAGUGAAGCGGGAAUAGCUCAACCUGAAAAUCGGUGUGCCUUGCGGUACUCCGAAUUGUGGCUUGAGACGCCUUCUCAGCGAGUGACCUGGGUAUAAGUCCUUUGGAAAAAGGCAUCAUAGUGGGUGAGAAUCCCAUCUGUGACCCGGAGUUCGCCGCGUACGAGAGGUGUUCCUAGAGUCGCAUAGCUUGGGAAUGCUGUGCUAAGUAGGUGGUAAAUUUCAUCUAAAGCUAAAUAUCGAUGAGAGACCGAUAGCCAAAGUA